UACGUAGGGUCCGAGCGUUGUCCGGAAUUACUGGGCGUAAAGAGCUCGUAGGUGGUUUGUCGCGUUGUCCGUGAAAACUCACAGCUCAACUGUGGGCGUGCGGGCGAUACGGGCAGACUGGAGUACUGCAGGGGAGACUGGAAUUCCUGGUGUAGCGGUGGAAUGCGCAGAUAUCAGGAGGAACACCGGUGGCGAAGGCGGGUCUCUGGGCCGAUAUUGACGCUGAGGAGCGAAAGCGUGGGGAGCAAACAGG
rnacentral:rRNA from 1 species